rnacentral:rRNA from 1 species
UGCAGUCGAGCGAACAGAUAAGGAGCUUGCUCCUUUGACGUUAGCGGCGGACGGGUGAGUAACACGUGGGUAACCUACCUAUAAGACUGGAAUAACUCCGGGAAACCGGGGCUAAUGCCGGAUAACAUAUAGAACCGCAUGGUUCUAUAGUGAAAGAUGGUUUUGCUAUCACUUAUAGAUGGACCCGCGCCGUAUUAGCUAGUUGGUAAGGUAAUGGCUUACCAAGGCGACGAUACGUAGCCGACCUGAGAGGGUGAUCGGCCACACUGGAACUGAGACACGGUCCAGACUCCUACGGGAGGCAGCAGUAGGGAAUCUUCCGCAAUGGGCGAAAGCCUGACGGAGCAACGCCGCGUGAGUGAUGAAGGGUUUCGGCUCGUAAAACUCUGUUAUUAGGGAAGAACAUAUGUGUAAGUAACUGUGCACAUCUUGACGGUACCUAAUCAGAAAGCCACGGCUAACUACGUGCCAGCAGCCGCGGUAAUACGUAGGUGGCAAGCGUUAUCCGGAAUUAUUGGGCGUAAAGCGCGCGUAGGCGGUUUCUUAAGUCUGAUGUGAAAGCCCACGGCUCAACCGUGGAGGGUCAUUGGAAACUGGGAAACUUGAGUGCAGAAGAGGAAAGUGGAAUUCCAUGUGUAGCGGUGAAAUGCGCAGAGAUAUGGAGGAACACCAGUGGCGAAGGCGACUUUCUGGUCUGUAACUGACGCUGAUGUGCGAAAGCGUGGGGAUCAAACAGGAUUAGAUACCCCUGGUAGUCCACGCCGUAAACGAUGAGUG